UACGUAGGGUGCGAGCGUUGUCCGGAAUUAUUGGGCGUAAAGAGCUCGUAGGCGGUGUGUCGCGUCGGCCGUGAAACCUGACAGCUUAACUGUGGGCUUGCGGCGAUACGGGCAUCACUGGAGUUCGGCAGGGAGACUGGAAUCCUGGUGUAGGCGGUGAAAUGCGCAGAUAUCAGGAGGAACACCGGUGGCGAAGGCGGGUCUCUGGGCCGAUACUGACGCUGAGGAGCGAAAGCGUGGGGAGC
rnacentral:rRNA from 1 species